UCGAGCUCCUGGGCUCAAGCAAUCCUCCCACCUCAGCCCCGCAAAGUGCUGGGAUCACAGGUGUGAGCCACCAGUUCUAAAAAUGACAGCUCCAUGUCUGAAAUGUUGGAGCCUCUGAACCACCCCUGGUUUCACCUCCCCUGUAACAUGCAAUGGUAUGGGAGUGGGGAGAGUAUCAGAGUAACCCACAUAACACAGCCUGAGGCACACACUUCCCUGGGCCAUUUGCUGUUCUAAGCAAUGCAGUGUGGGAAGUCCUGUGGCUCUGCCGGGGUGCAGGGUGAAGGGCUCCUCCAUUCACACAGGUACCUGGAGUAGCCACCAUGCCCCCACCUCAUGCCUGUGUUCCUCAGUCCUGAGCCUCAAGGGCUCUGCCUUUCUGCCCUCUGCCCUCCAGCCCUCCAGCCCUGCCCUGUGAGAAGCUUCGAAGUCUCCUCCUGGACCCCUCUUACAAGGUCCCUCUGCCUGCUUUUGUCAGCUCCUGUUAGCUCUGCAGCCCAGAUCUUUCCAAGCAACCCUCGCUCACUGCCCUCAGCACACAGCAACUCCUUUGCUAAAGUUCGAGGCCAUUCACAACCUGAUCCCAACGUUCUUCCAAUCUUUUAUCUUUUUUUAAAAUUUUA
rnacentral:lncRNA from 10 species